rnacentral:rRNA from 1 species
GCCACAGCUGUGCCAGCAGCCGCUGUAAUACAGGGGGUGCUAGCGUUAAUCGUAUUUAGUGGGCGUAAGGCGCGCGUAGGUGGUUAAUUAAGUCAAAUGGGAAAUCCCCGAGCUUAACUUGGGAAUCGCAUUCGAGACUGGUUAGCUAGAGUAUGGGAGAGGAUGGUAGAAUUCCAGGUGUAGCGGUGAAAUGCGUAGAGAUCUGGAGGAAUACCGAUGGCGAAGGCAGCCAUCUGGCCUAAUACUGACACUGAGGUGCGAAAGCAUGGGGAGCAAACAGGAUUAGAUACCCUGGUAGUC